rnacentral:lncRNA from 1 species
GUUAAGGUUACUCGAUUUUGGGAAUAGUGUGUAAAGUUUAAUGUAUAAACAAUUUAUGUUUAUAUCUUCCGCAAACAGUUGUAGAAAUAGCGAACCGGAUCCGCGACGAUUCGGGACCCGGAUUUAGGGCUGCUACAGUUGGUAUCAGAGCUGUUGGUUAUGAAGCUUAGGUAGAAAUACCUGAGACCAAUAACCGCAGUGAUUAGGAUAAGUACUAACUCACAUAGAGUUAGUUGAAGAAUCUCGCAGGGUCCAAAAGUUAGGUUUAAGUAUGGUACCAUUGUACUCGAUACUAGUUGAUGUAUGGUAUCUGGGCUAAACGAUUCCUUCAUAGAGUGGAGGUAUAUACGAACUAGCAACUCGGAACCUAGUUUGUUGGUUGUUUGUGGGAAACCACUCAGCGUACCAUAUUGAGAACUGUUAGAGACUCGAUGUGUACCAAGUAUAGGAAAUGGAUAUAUAGAGUCUAAGAGAUUACAAGUGUAAGGAUUGGAGAUCGUAAAACAAAACGAUCACAGAAUAGCAAUGAAUCGUAAUAUAUACGAUGAGAUCACUCC